UAAGAAUUGUAAAUGACAGCCAUUCUCAGAAAUACAGUGAUCCAAGACAAUCCCAAUGGAUUAAUGAUGAAGCACACUCUCCACCUCUACAGAAAGAACUGACAUCCAUUGAACACAAACUGAAGCAUGUUACUUUUCCCCCUUUUCAUUCACUUUUUCUUUUAUUUGAGUCCUCUUGUACAAAAUGACUAAUAUGGAAACGUUUUACAUGAUUUCACAUGUAUAACCUAUAUCUGAUUGCUUACCAUCUCAGUGAGGGGGAAGGAGGAGGGAUAAAAUUUGGAGCUCAAAACUUUAAAUAAAAAUGUAAAAAAAAAAAUAUUAUCUUAUUCGAUUCCCACAACAACCCUGGGAGGUAGGUGGUGUUAUUUUUAUCUCCACUUGACCAUUAAGUGACUUGACCAGGGUUUCAGAGCUAGAAGUGUCAGGGGCCUGAUUUCAAUUCAGGUUUUCCUGAGUUCAAGUCCAGUACUUUAUCCACAGUUCCACCUAGUUGCUUCUAGGAAAUGCUUUGACUUACUUAAAGUCCCUUCUAGGCUUAACGUUCAAUAAAACCCUAAGCACCUUAAAACGGCAAUCCUUUCGAAAGCAGUAGGAGCCAGAGCGGGAACCUGUCAGCAAUGAUGGAUCCCAAGCAGCCCUAGUGUCUCUCAGUGGGUUCCAUCGCAUUCAUUUGAGCAGACCAGGAUCAGAAAUCCAGGCAAAAGGAGGGACCUGGCUAGUUAGAGGUCCGAGUCACAGGGCAGCGUGCUAACAGAGCCGGGAUGCCGGCUGCUGCUUUGCUCCCCCUUCAGUACAUCUUCUGGGUUCGUAUAGGCUGCCGGCCGAGGCAUCCUGAAGCCCACUCGGGGCUUCGGGCCACCCUGAGGCUGAAGCCGGUUCUGGUUGCGCUGGGACAAGAUCGAUGGAACCGUGGGAGCUUCAGGCCAUUGUAUCUGCACCGUAUUAAGACUGCUGCGGCGCGUAGCCGGGUACGCCUUGGGACGGUGGGCACACUCUUCGCAGACCUGGGCGAAGCUGAGUGCCAGGGAGAAGCCCCCCACUAGCAGCAGGCAACUGCCCAGAAAGCCUAGCACUAAGCUGUAGCCAACUCGCAGCUGGACGGGGCUGGGCUGCGCGGGAAGAACGGUGCGGUUUUGCAGGACGUGCCUGUACCAAGCCACCGGGAUGAGUCCGAGGAGGCCAGCGGCAAAGAGCACGAGCCCCGAGGCUCCGGCCAGCCAGGCGCGGGGCUUGUUGUGCCAGCAGCGCACCCCCAGGGAGGCCAGCAGCAGCCCCACGGCUGUGGUGGCCAGUCCCGUGACGGUCAGAGCGCGAGCCGCCCGCACCGGCUCCGCGGAGAAAUACCCCAGCUCAUCCGGCAGCCCGCACUGGCUUUCGCGGCUGCUCUGCUCUCUACACAUGUCCCAGAGUCCCUGGGUCACCAGCAAGUCCACCGGCUGAUCGAGGAAACCUGUUGCCUGCCGCCAACCCGGCGUCAGCGUGCAGACCAGGCACAGUAACAAGCCGCAGGGGGCCAGCACUAAACCCAGAGUCAUGACCACGGGCGUCCUCAUCUCGGCGGCCGGGGGGUGACGGGUCCCUCACUUUGGCGAAAUUGGCACCUCUAUACCCGCGCGACCUGCGAAAUCCAGCGGAGAGAAUGUGGACUUCCCGCUGUCUCGGAGCUGGUGUGUCCCGCUCCUCUCUCCUGGUCCCUCCUCUUACUCACUGCUCUCCACCCGGAUGAAAGCUUCCCUAAGGAGGGCCGAUAUGCCCCAGGCAUCGAGAUGCCUCUGGCGAUCCCAGUGUCCAGAUCAGGGCGAUCAAGCUCAGUCCGGAUCUGCUCGGCGCCUCCCACCUUCUCCUUCUCCUCAGUCUUUCCCUUCUGUUUUGCCGUUCGCCCAUCCCUCUCCUCGACUUCCUACAGCGCAAAGCUCCGCCCGUCCCCAAGGGAAACCAGAUCCCCGGCAGUCUCACCGAAACUGAGAGAGCGCAAGAGUCCGCCCGGCUCGGGAGGGGCUGACCCGGUAAGGGCCCAACAGGAAGCAACCACUGGGCCCUGGCUGGGUUCAGCCCCGCCCUUGCUUGCUCCUCCCCAUUGCCUUGGACAAAGGUUGAGACCAGAGCUGGUGGCUGGGAGGGGGCUAAAAGAGUCUACAUCUGGCUAAGCACCUGUCCUUACCUGCAUCCAGUCUGGGGGGUCCGGACAGCUUACCACGUUAACGCACAGCCAUUCCAGCUUCUUCCCAUCCCACCACUGGCCACUGCCUAGUGUGUAGAGCACCGGGGGCUGCU
rnacentral:lncRNA from 1 species